rnacentral:rRNA from 1 species
UACGUAGGGGGCAAGCGUUGUCCGGAAUCAUUGGGCGUAAAGAGCGUGUAGGUGGCCCGGUCAGUCCGCCGUGAAAGUCCAGGGCUCAACCCUGGAAUGCCGGUGGAUACUGCCGGGCUGGAGUCCGGAAGAGGCGAGUGGAAUUCCUGGUGUAGCGGUGAAAUGCGCAGAUAUCAGGAGGAACACCAAUGGCGAAGGCAGCUCGCUGGGACGGUACUGACACUGAGACGCGAAAGCGUGGGAAGCAAACAGG